CACACAGAGAGAGAGAGAGAGAGAGAGUGAGUGAAUAGACCAAAACUCAAUUUCAUUUUGUUCGUGUUCUUUUCGUCUAUAUUUUUCUGCUUCUCUCUUCCUUUUUUGUUUCUGUUUUUUUUUCAUUAUG
rnacentral:ribozyme from 16 species